rnacentral:rRNA from 1 species
UACAGAGGUCCCAAGCGUUGUUCGGAUUCAUUGGGCGUAAAGGGUGUGUAGGUGGCGCGCUAAGUCGGGUGUGAAAUUUCGGAGCUUAACUCCGAAACUGCAUUCGAUACUGGCGUGCUUGAGGACUGGAGAGGAGACUGGAAUUUACGGUGUAGCGGUGAAAUGCGUAGAUAUCGGGAGGAAUACCGAUGGCGAAGGCAGGUCUCUGGGCUGACACUGACGCUCAUGCACGAAAGCGUGGGGAGCAAACAGG